GGGGGUGCAAGCGUUGUCCGGAAUCAUUGGGCGUAAAGAGUUCGUAGGUGGUAUGUUAAGUCUGGUGUUAAAGGCGGAUGCUCAACAUCCGUAAGGCACUGGAUACUGGCAAACUAGAAUGCGGUAGAGGUAAAGGGAAUUCCUGGUGUAGCGGUGAAAUGCGUAGAUAUCAGGAGGAACAUCGGUGGCGUAAGCGCUUUACUGGGCCGUAAUUGACACUGAGGAACGAAAGCCGGGGUAGCAAA
rnacentral:rRNA from 1 species